rnacentral:rRNA from 1 species
UACGAAGGGGGCUAGCGUUGCUCGGAAUCACUGGGCGUAAAGGGCGCGUAGGCGGCCGUUCAAGUCGGGGGUGAAAGCCUGUGGCUCAACCACAGAAUUGCCUUCGAUACUGUAGAGCUUGAGACCGGAAGAGGUAAGUGGAACUGCGAGUGUAGAGGUGAAAUUCGUAGAUAUUCGCAAGAACACCAGUGGCGAAGGCGGCUUGACUGGUCCGGUUCUGACGCUGAGGCGCGAAAGCGUGGGGAGCAAACAGG